UAGGGAAUCUUCCACAAUGGACGAAAGUCUGAUGGAGCAACACCGCGUGAGUGAAGAAGGGUUUCGGCUCGUAAAGCUCUGUUGUUAAAGAAGAACACGUAUGAGAGUAACUGUUCAUACGUUGACGGUAUUUAACCAGAAAGUCACGGCUAACUACGUGCCAG
rnacentral:rRNA from 1 species